AAGUCGUAACAAGGUUUCCGUAGGUGAACCUGCGGAAGGAUCAUUACCUAGAGUUGUAGGCUUUGCCUGCUAUCUCUUACCCAUGUCUUUUGAGUACCUUCGUUUCCUCGGCGGGCUCGCCCGCCAACGGGGACAAACAAACCCAUUUUUGCAGUGGAAGUCUCUGUCUGAACAAAACAAACCUUAUUAAAACUUUCAACAACGGAUCUCUUGGUUCUG
rnacentral:misc_RNA from 1 species